rnacentral:rRNA from 1 species
CCCUAAGGCGAGGCUGAAAAGCGUAGUCGAUGGGAAACAGGUUAAUAUUCCUGUACUUGGUGUUACUGCGAAGGGGGGACGGAGAAGGCUAGGCUAGCCGGGCGACGGUUGUCCCGGUUUAAGCGUGUAGGGGGUGUGACCUGGUAAAUCCGGUUGCAUAUCAACCCUGAGGCGUGAUGACGAUGCGCUACGGUGCAGAAGUAGUUGAUGCCCUGCUUCCAGGAAAAGCCUCUAAGCUCCAGGUAACAUUAAAUCGUACCCCAAACCGACACAGGUGGUCAGGUAGAGAAUACCAAGGCGCUUGAGAGAACUCGGGUGAAGGAACUAGGCAAAAUGGUGCCGUAACUUCGGGAGAAGGCACGCUGGCAUGUAG